CAAAGAAAACAGUGAAAUUACCACAAAAGAAAAAAAUGCAAAACUUACAAGAAAUAAAAAUAUCGUCCAAAAUGGACGAACCAAACCAACAUCACCUCCUUUCCAAGAGCCUGUU
rnacentral:rRNA from 1 species